CAUGCACCGAAAGCGUGGGAGCAAACAAGGAUUAGAUACCCUGGUAGUCCACGCCCUAAACGAUGUCUACUAGUUGUCGGGUCUUAAUUGACUUGGUAACGCAGCUAACGCGUGAAGUAGACCGCCUGGGGAGUACGGUCGCAAGAUUAAAACUCAAAGGAAUUGACGGGGACCCGCACAAGCGGUGGAUGAUGUGGAUUAAUUCGAUGCAACGCGAAAAACCUUACCUACCCUUGACAUGUACGGAACCCUGCUGAGAAGUGGGGGUGCUCGAAAGAGAACCGUAACACAGGUGCUGCAUGGCUGUCGUCAGCUCGUGUCGUGAGAUGUUGGGUUAAGUCCCGCAACGAGCGCAACCCUUGUCAUUAGUUGCUACGAAAGGGCACUCUAAUGAGACUGCCGGUGACAAACCGGAGAAAGGUGGGGAUGACGUCAAGUCCUCAUGGCCCUUAUGGGUAGGGCUUCACACGUCAUACAAUGGUACAUACAGAGGGCCGCCAACCCGCGAGGGGGAGCUAAUCCCAGAAAGUGUAUCGUAGUCCGGAUUGUAGUCUGCAACUCGACUACAUGAAGUUGGAAUCGCUAGUAAUCGCGGAUCAGCAUGUCGCGGUGAAUACGUUCCCGGGUCUUGUACGCACCGCCCGUCACACCAUGGGAGCGGGUUUUA
rnacentral:rRNA from 1 species